rnacentral:rRNA from 1 species
CCUACGGGAGGCAGCAGUAAGGAAUAUUGGUCAAUGGAGGCAACUCUGAACCAGCCAUGCCGCGUGCAGGAUGACGGCCCUAUGGGUUGUAAACUGCUUUUGUACCAGAGAAAACCUACUCACGUGUGAGUAGCUGAUAGUAUGGUAAGAAUAAGCAUCGGCUAACUUCGUGCCAGCAGCCGCGGUAAGACGAAGGAUGCAAGCGUUAUCCGGAUUCAUUGGGUUUAAAGGGUGCGUAGGCGGACUUGUAAGUCAGUGGUGAAAUCUCUUCGCUUAACGAAGAAACUGCCAUUGAUACUGCAGGUCUAGAGUAUAGAUGACGUUGGCGGAAUAUGACAUGUAGUGGUGAAAUACUUAGAUAUGUCAUAGAACACCGAUUGCGAAGGCAGCUAACGAAACUAUAACUGACGCUGAGGCACGAAAGUGCGGGGAUCAAACAGGAUUAGAUACCCUGGUAGUCCGCACCGUAAACGAUGAUUACUCGUUGUUGGCGAUAUGACAGUCAGCGACCAAGCGAAAGCGAUAAGUAAUCCACCUGGGGAGUACGCCGGCAACGGUGAAACUUAAAGGAAUUGACGGCGNGAGAGNGCGAGGACGACACGAGGGAGGAG